UUUAUCAAAACAUCGCCUCUUGCAAUUACUGAAUAGGAGGUCCCGCCUGCCCUGUGACUAUUAGUUUAACGGCCGCGGUACUUUGACCGUGCGAAGGUAGCGUAAUCACUUGUCUUUUAAAUGGAGACCUGUAUGAAUGGCAUAACGAGGGCUAAGCUGUCUCCUCUUUCCAGUCAAUGAAAUUGAUCUCCCCGUGAAGAAGCGGGGAUACAGACAUAAGACGAGAAGACCCUAUGGAGCUUUAGACCCCCGAGCAGACUACGUUAAGAACCCUUAAUGCAAGGUAAGAACAAAGUACCCCCUGUUCAAGUGUCUUCGGUUGGGGCGACCACGGGGAAAUAAAAAACCCCCACGCGGAGUGGAAACACACCUUCUAAAACUAAGAGCCCCCGCUCUAAUUUACAGAAUUUCUGACCACAGAGAUCCGGCAAAGCCGAUCAACGGAACGAGUUACCCUAGGGAUAACAGCGCAAUCCCCUUCUAGAGUCCCUAUCGACGGGGGGGUUUACGACCUCGAUGUUGGAUCAGGACAUCCUAAUGGUGCACCCGCUAUUAAGGGUUCGUUUGUUCAACGAUUAAAGUCCUACGUGAUCUGAGUUC
rnacentral:rRNA from 1 species